UUAGUAUUCAGAGAAUGACCUGAACUUAGCUGUGUUAAGUUGCCUGCUCCACAGGAAACCACCUCUGUAACUGUUGCUUGCUGCUUUCUCUUUAGGCAACACCCAAAGCCACUGUCAGAUGUCAUGGAGAUGAGACCUCACAAGCCUACUCAACGUGAAGAUGAUGAGAAUGAAGACCUUUAUGAUGAUCUGCUUCCACUUAAAGAAUAAACCCUGAGGUAUCAUGAAGAAAUCCAUAUGCCCUGAAGUUACCAUCCUAGAGACAUCAUUUGGAGAGACUACAGUGCACAGAAGUAGAGAGGCCCAGCUGUGCCUGUCCCCAACUGAUGGAGUCUUCUCAGUGUCAGUCACCAGACAUUUGACUGCAGGUAACUGAAACUGCGGAAAGUGAAACUGCAGAUAAGAGGGACCACUGUAAAUAAGUGACAUGAAUGAUACUGCAAAGGACCAUAGCCUAACCAGCCAAGCAAACUGGAAGUACCUUUAGACUCACGCUUUGCCAAGCUCAGUUCCAGAAUCACAUGAUGAAAAGAAUGAUGGAAAGAAAAUGUUUGUGAUAUUAAAAUUAAGGAAAUUACUCCAACUCAGAGUUUCAUCCUAAACUGAGAGACCAACAUCAAAAGAAUCUUCUCAAGUUUCUGAGUGACGGCAAGAAACUAGACUACUGUUACCAAGGAACUUUUUAAAGCAAACUGCUUUUGCUGAUAUGAGGAGAAAGUUAAUUAAUAAGAAAAUACCUUAAAUGUGUUUUGAAGCUGUUAAAGGUGUGUAACAAUUACUCUGAAUUUAUUAUAGCACCAGUUAGAGACCCAGGAAAACUAUAAAAUUGCACAUCAGGGCAGAGCUGAGAGACGACAUCUGCUUUGGGAUUGAAAAAAAAAAAAAAAAAAAAAAAAACAGAAAGGGAACAAGAGAAAUAGCAAGUCAUUUAACAUUUGGAAUUCAGGACUCCAGACUCAUCUAUAGGACCAAACUGCUCUUGAAAUAUACUAGAUUUCCUUUAGCUCCAGAGGUUUUGCCUUCAUCAAAUGCCUGUAACACUCUUAUUGUCAAAAGGAAUAAGUGAUGGUGAACACUGUGCCAGAUAGGAGGUACCACACACAGGUUCAGCAAAAAGCAGAAGCAAGAGGUAUAUUUUUUGUUAGAUCUUAGUUCAUCCCUAUGUAACAGACAUUUCAGGGAAGGGAGGAGAAAAUAACAAAGCUACCUAUGAGCAAAGGUAAAUGGGAUUCCCUAUCCUUGUUUCCCAGUUUCGGUCAUGGUAUUGCUUAUCCAUUAUUAGUUAUCCACUGCUGGGUAACAAAUUACUCCCAAACUUAGCAGCUUCAAACAACAAUAAACAUGUAUUAUGUCACAUAGUUUGUUUCAGAACUUUGGGAGUGGCUUAGCUGAAUGGUUGUAGCUCCAGGUGCUUUUUGUGGUUGCAGUCAAGAAGUCAGCCCAUUCACACAGCUGCAGACAAAAGGACUCGGUUCCUUGCAGGCUGAGGCCUGAUUAGGCAGGGGGCCUGAGUGUCUCGCCACAUGGACCUCUCCAUAGGGCUGCUUUUCGUGGCAUGGCAGCUGACUCCCCUCAGAACAGAUGAUCAAAAGCAGCAAAAGAGAAGCCUCACAUGACUUUUGCCCUAGCCUUGGGAAUCACACUCUUCCAUUUCUACAAAAUCCUAUUGGUUACAUAGCAGCCCUAUCCAGUGUGGGAGGGAACUGUAUACAGGCAUGAAUACCAGGAGUGGAAAACCACUAGAGACUGGCUACCAUGGUCACUUACACAC
rnacentral:lncRNA from 1 species